rnacentral:rRNA from 1 species
AUUGAACGCUGGCGGCAUGCCUUACACAUGCAAGUCGAACGGCAGCAGGGACUUCGGUCCGCCGGCGAGUGGCGAACGGGUGAGUAAUGUAUCGGAACGUACCAUUCAGUGGGGGAUAACUAUCCGAAAGGAUAGCUAAUACCGCAUAUUCUGUGAGCAGGAAAGCAGGGGAUCGCAAGACCUUGCGCUGAUUGAGCGGCCGAUAUCAGAUUAGCUAGUUGGUGAGGUAGCGGCUCACCAAGGCUACGAUCUGUAGCGGGUCUGAGAGGAUGAGCCGCCACACUGGGACUGAGACACGGCCCAGACUCCUACGGGAGGCAGCAGUGGGGAAUUUUGGACAAUGGGCGCAAGCCUGAUCCAGCCAUGCCGCGUGAGUGAAGAAGGCCUUCGGGUUGUAAAGCUCUUUCGGCCGGGAAGAAAUCGCAUCAGCUAAUACCUGGUGUGGAUGACGGUACCGGAAUAAGAAGCACCGGCUAACUACGUGCCAGCAGUCGCAGUAA